rnacentral:rRNA from 1 species
UGGGGAAUAUUGCACAAUGGGCGAAAGCCUGAUGCAGCAACGCCGCGCGAGGGACGACGGCCUUCGGGUUGUAAACCUCUUUUAGCAAGGAAGAAGCGAAAGUGACGGUACUUGCAGAAAAAGCGCCGGCUAACUACGUGCCAGCAGCCGCGGUAAUACGUAGGGCGCAAGCGUUAUCCGGGAAUUUAUUGGGCGUAAAGAGCUCGUAGGCGGUUUUGUCGCGUCUGCUGUGAAAACCCGAGGCUCAACCUCGGGCCUGCAGUGGGUACGGGCAGACUAGAGUGCGGUAGGGGAGAUUGGAACUCCUGGUGUAGCGGUGGAAUGCGCAGAUAUCAGGAAGAACACCGAUGGCGAAGGCGAUCUCUGGGCCGUAACUGACGCUGAGGAGCGAAAGGGU